rnacentral:rRNA from 1 species
UUCCAGCUCCAAUAGCGUAUAUUUAAGUUGCUGCAGUUAAAAAGCUCGUAGUUGGAUUUCGGGCGGUUGACGACGGUCCGCCUCUGGUGUGCACUGCCGUUCUUCCGCCUUUCUGUCGGGGACGUGCUCCUAGGCUUCAUUGUCUGGGACACGGGUUCGACGUGGUUACUUUGAGUAAAUUAGAGUGUUCAAAGCAGGCAUCGCCUUGAAUAUAUUAGCAUGGAAUAGCACGAUAGGACUCUGGCCUAUUUUGCUGGUCUGUAGGACCGGAGUAAUGAUUAAGAGGGACAGUCGGGGGCAUUCGUAUUUCAUUGUCAGAGGUGAAAUUCUUGGAUUUAUGAAAGACGAACUUCUGCGAAAGCAUUUGCCAAGGAUGUUUUCAUUG